AUUGAACGCUGGCGGCAGGCCUAACACAUGCAAGUCGAGCGGUAACACAGGGAGCUUGCUCCUGGGUGACGAGCGGCGGACGGGUGAGUAAUGUCUGGGAAACUGCCUGAUGGAGGGGGAUAACUACUGAAAACGGUAGCUAAUACCGCAUAAUGUCGCAAGACCAAAGAGGGGGACCUUCGGGCCUCUUGCCAUCAGAUGUGCCCAGAUGGGAUUAGCUAGUAGGUGGGGUAACGGCUCACCUAGGCGACGAUCCCUAGCUGGUCUGAGAGGAUGACCAGCCACACUGGAACUGAGACACGGUCCAGACUCCUACGGGAGGCAGCAGUGGGGAAUAUUGCACAAUGGGCGCAAGCCUGAUGCAGCCAUGCCGCGUGUAUGAAGAAGGCCUUCGGGUUGUAAAGUACUUUCAGCGGGGAGGAAGGUGUUGAGGUUAAUAACCUCAGCAAUUGACGUUACCCGCAGAAGAAGCACCGGCUAACUCCGUGCUAGCAGCCGCCGCCG
rnacentral:rRNA from 1 species